GAUGAAGAACGUAGCGAAAUGCGAUAAGUAAUGUGAAUUGCAGAAUUCAGUGAAUCAUCGAAUCUUUGAACGCACAUUGCGCCCCCUGGUAUUCCGGGGGGCAUGCCUGUCCGUGCGUCAUUACAACCCUCAAGCUCAGCUUGGUGUUGGGCCCCGCCGCCCCGGCGGGCCCUAAAGUCAGUGGCGGUGCCGUCCGGCUCCGAGCGUAGUAAUUCUUCUCGCUCUGGAGGUCCGGUCGUGUGCUCGCCAGCAACCCCCAAUUUUUUUCAGGUUGACCUCGGAUCAGGUAGGGAUACCCGCUGAACUUAAGCAUAUCAAUAAGCGGAGGA
rnacentral:misc_RNA from 1 species